UAAGGAAUAUUGGGCAAUGGACGCAAGUCUGACCCAGCCAUGCCGCGUGAAGGACGACAGCCCUACGGGUUGUAAACUUCUUUUGUACGGGAAAAAACUUUCGCUCGUGAGCGAAACUGAUGGUACCGUAAGAAUAAGCAUCGGCUAACUCCGUGCCAGCAGCCGCGGUAAUACGGAGGAUGCAAGCGUUAUCCGGAUUCAUUGGGUUUAAAGGGUGCGUAGGCGGGAUGAUAAGUCAGUGGUGAAAUCCUACAGCUUAACUGUAGAACUGCCAUUGAUACUGUCAACCUUGAGUACAUUUGAAGUGGGCGGAAUGUGUCAUGUAGCGGUGAAAUGCUUAGAUAUGACACAGAACACCGAUAGCGAAGGCAGCUCACUAAACUGUAACUGACGCUGAGGCACGAAAGCGUGGGGAUCAAACAGG
rnacentral:rRNA from 1 species